rnacentral:rRNA from 1 species
CCAAGAAUGUUUUCUUUAGUCAAGAACGAAAGUCGGAGGUUCGAAGACGAUCAGAUACCGUCGUAGUUCCGACCGUAAACGAGUGCUCGACCUACUCAUCGGCCGCGGAUCUCGAUCGACCCGGCCGGCGACCCCCGGGAAACCUAUACGAGUGCUUGCCGACUCCGGGGGAAGUAUGUUCGCAAAGAUGAAACUUAAAGGAAUUGACGGAAGGGCACCACCAGGAGUGGAGCCUGCGGCUUAAUUCGACUCAACACGGGAAAACUCACCCGGCCCGGACUACGCGAGGAUUGACAGAUCGAUAGCUCUUUCUCGAUUCGCGGGAUGGUGGUGCAUGGCCGUUCUUAGUUGGUGGAGCGAUUUGUCUGGUUAAUUCCGAUAACGAACGAGACUCAC